rnacentral:rRNA from 1 species
GACGAACGCUGGCGGCGUGCUUAACACAUGCAAGUCGAACGGAAAGGCCCUGCUUUUGUGGGGUGCUCGAGUGGCGAACGGGUGAGUAACACGUGAGUAACCUGCCCUUGACUUUGGGAUAACUUCAGGAAACUGGGGCUAAUACCGGAUAGGAGCUCCUGCUGCAUGGUGGGGGUUGGAAAGUUUCGGCGGUUGGGGAUGGACUCGCGGCUUAUCAGCUUGUUGGUGGGGUAGUGGCUUACCAAGGCUUUGACGGGUAGCCGGCCUGAGAGGGUGACCGGGCAGAGGGGGAGGGGGGACGGGCACACACACGGGUGGGGGGGGGGAGAGGGGAAUAGGGGACGGGGGGGGGACGCAGGAAGCGGACAGUGCGCGUGAGGGAUGGCGGCGUGCGGGUCGUAAACGGGUGUGGAGUGUGACGAAGAGGGGGAGAGGGUAAGGAGAAAAGAAGCACCGGCAAACUAGGGGGCAGAAGCCGCGAAGAGAGC